rnacentral:rRNA from 1 species
UGGGGAAUAUUGCGCAAUGGACGAAAGUCUGACGCAGCGACGCCGCGUGUGGGAGGAAGCCCUUCGGGGUGUAAACCACUGUCAGGGGGGAAGAACACUGGUCUUGAGAACAUCCUGGUCGGUUGACGGUACCCCCAGAGGAAGCGCCGGCUAACUCCGUGCCAGCAGCCGCGGUAAGACGGAGGGCGCAAGCGUUGUUCGGAAUUACUGGGCGUAAAGCGCGGGCAGGUGGCCCUUUAAGUCCUUUGUGAAAUUCCGGGGCUCAACUCCGGACGUGCAGAGGAUACUGGAGGGCUAGAGUUUGGUAGAGGCAAGCGGAAUUCCUGGUGUAGCGGUGGAAUGCGUAGAUAUCAGGAAGAACACCGGUGGCGAAGGCGGCUUGCUGGGCCAAUACUGACACUCAUCCGCGAAAGCGUGGGGAGCAAACAGGAUUAGAUACCCGUGUAGUCC